rnacentral:rRNA from 1 species
AUGGCCAAAAGUGGACGACUAGUCCUUCUCAAAUCGGCACUAUCGACAUUAGCAACUUACAUGCUUUCAGUACACCGACUUCCUGUCUGGGUUAUGAAGCGUUUGGUCAAAAAAUUUCGGGCGUGGCUUUGGGCUGGCGAGCAGGACUGUAAUGCAGGCAAAUGCCAUGUGAGCUGGGCACUUCUCAGCAGGCCAAAGGAGCUUGGUGGGCUGGGUGUACUUGACCUCACAAAAUUUGGUCGAGCUCUAAGGCUGAGAUGGUUGUGGUACGCUUGGUCGACACCUGAGAGGCCCUGGGUUGGCUCACAAUUACCCUGCGACGAGAUCGACCAUGAGCUGUUUGCAAUGGCAACUGAUAUUACGAUAGGAUGUGGGAAUCUAGCGCGCUUUUGGCACGAUAGGUGGCUCAAUGGGUUAACACCAAAGAGGAUCGCGUCGCGGCUAUUCUCCAUGGCCUCCUGA